UGUAUUGUCGCUCAGUGGUAAAGAAUCUGCCUGUAGAGCAGGAAACCCAGGUUCGAUCCCGGCAGGAAAA
rnacentral:tRNA from 1 species